rnacentral:rRNA from 1 species
CCUUUGGAGGGUUUGAUCCUGGCUCAGAGUGAACGCUGGCGGCGUGGAUUAGGCAUGCAAGUCGAGCGAUCCUAAUUUGCAAAGUAAAUCGCGGUUUUCGGACCAAAGUUUAUGGAGUAAAUUUAGAUAGCGGCAAACCGGUGAGGAACACGUGGGUAACGUACCUUGGGAAGAGAGAUAGCCAAUCGAAAGGUUGGGUAAUACCUCGUACGCUCUAAAAUCUGGAAUGGUUUCAGAGGAAAGAUGGCCUCUACUUGUAAGCUAUCGUCCUAAGAGCGACCCGCGGCCUAUCAGGUAGUUGGUAAGGUAACGGCCUACCAAGCCUAAGACGGGUAGCUAGCCUGAGAGGGUGUUUAGCCACAUCGGGACUGAGACACUGCCCGGACUCCUACGGGAGGCUGCAGUCGAGAAUAUUUUUCAAUGGGCGAAAGCCUGAAAAUGCGACGCCGCGUGGGGGAUGAAGGUUUUCGGAUUGUAAACCCCUUUUAUUGGAGACGAAAGCUCUUGGUGUGAAUAAUGCCAAGGGUGUGCCUGUACCCAAUGAAUAAGCCACGGCUAACUCCGUGCCAGCAGCCGCGGUAAUACGGAGGUGGCGAGCGUUACUCGGAUUAACUGGGUGUAAAGGGUCUGUAGGCGGCUAAAUAAGUGGGAGGUGAAAUCUUUCGGCUUAACCGGAAAACUGCCUCUCAAACUAUUUGGCUUGAGACUGGAAGAGGAGAGUGGAAUUGUCGGUGUAAGGGUGAAAUCUGUGGAUAUCGACAAGAACGCCUGUGGGGAAGCCGACUCUCUGGUCCAGAACUGACGCUGAGGGACGAAAGCUAGGGGAAUCAAUAGGAUUAGAUACCCUAGUAGUCCUAGCUGUAAACGAUGGGCACUAGGUAUCUGUCCGUAAGGAUGGGUGCCGUAGUUAACAUGUUAAGUGCCCCACCUGGGGACUACGGCCGCAAGGCUAAAACUCAAAGGAAUUGACGGGGGCCCGCACAAGCGGUGGAACACGUGGUUUAAUUCGAUGCUACGCGAGGAACCUUACCAGGGUUUGACAUGCUGGUAGUAAUUACCCGAAAGGGUGGAUGACCUGUAUCCAAUCAGGACCCAGCACAGGUGCUGCAUGGCUGUCGUCAGCUCGUGCCGUGAGGUGUUCCCUUAAGUGGGAAAACGAGCGCAACCCUCGCUAUUAGUUGCUACCCCAACAUAACGUUGGGGGCACUCUAAUGGGACUGCCCGCGUUAAGUGGGAGGAAGGUGGGGACGACGUCAAGUCCGCAUGGCCCUUAUGUCCUGGGCUACACACGUGUUACAAUGCCUGCUACAACGGGAAGCGAAACCGUAAGGUGGAGCAGAGCCUUAAAAAGCAGGCCCAGUUCGGAUUAAGGGCUGCAAUUCGCCCUUAUGAAGUUGGAAUCGCUAGUAAUGGCGCAUCAGCUACGGCGCCGUGAAUACGUUCCCGGGCCUUGUACACACCGCCCGUCAAGCGCUGAAAAUAGGGGGCACCUGAAUCCCAACGUUUGUUGGUACACGGUGAACUUUGUGAUUGGCGCUAAGUCGUAACAAGGUAGCCGUACGGGAACGUGCGGCUGGAUCACCUCCUUU